rnacentral:misc_RNA from 1 species
GAUGAAGAACGCAGCGAAAUGCGAUAAGUAGUGUGAAUUGCAGAAUUCAGUGAAUCAUCGAAUCUUUGAACGCACCUUGCGCCCUUUGGCUAUUCCGAAGGGCAUGCCUGUUUGAGUAUCAUGAACACCUCAAUCUCCAUCUUUUCUUCGGAUUGAUGGGUGACUUGGAUGUUGAGCCCUGCUGGUAUGCUAUAUCAGCUGGCUUUAAACUUAUUAGCCGGCUCUGUACUGGAUCGGUUUGACUCGACGUGAUAAUAUUAUCGUUGAGGAUGCAUGUCUCAUGCAGCCGGAAAGUAUCAAAGCAGCUUCUAGCUUGCCUUUAGUGCACUUUUACAUUUUAGACCUCAGAUCAGGUGGGACUACCCGCUGAACUUAAGCAUAUCAAUAAGCGGAGGA